rnacentral:tRNA from 1 species
ACCCUUGUGGCCUAACUGGUAAGGCGGCCGGCCGUUAACCGGAAGCAUCGAGGUUCGAGUCCUCGCGAGGGUGCCA